AGCUUUGCGCAGUGGCAGUAUCGUAGCCAAUGAGGUUUAUCCGAGGCGCGAUUAUUGCUAAUUGAAAAAUGACCAACCAACAGAACUGAUAAAAAAAGUGAGUUGUAUAAAACAGUUACAAUCUUGU
rnacentral:snRNA from 1 species